rnacentral:rRNA from 1 species
UACGAAGGGGGCUAGCGUUGUUCGGAUUUACUGGGUUUAAAGGGUGCGUAGGCGGAUCUUUAAGUCAGUGGUGAAAUCUCUCGGCUCAACCGAGAAACUGCCAUUGAUACUAUUGAUCUUGAAUACAGUUGAGGUGGGCGGAAUGUGUCGUGUAGCGGUGAAAUGCUUAGAUAUGACACAGAACACCGAUUGCGAAGGCAGCUCGCUAAACUGUGAUUGACGCUGAGGCACGAAAGCGUGGGGAUCAAACAGG